rnacentral:rRNA from 1 species
UUUUUAGAUCUCCCUGGAGGAGUUUGCCACCUAACCGAUAACCCACGAAAAACCUCUCCAGUUUUUGAAAAACCAGCAUGUAUACCAUCGUCGUCAGUCUACCUCUUAAGAGAUGUAUACUCAAAGAGCCUAACUCUUCACGUCAGAUCGAGGUGCAGCUAAUAAACUGGGGGUUGGUGAACUACAAUAUUGAGACCCUAAACCACCCAAAAACCAAUUAUGAACAGUACUAUGAAAUUAAUACUCAAAAUAGGAUUCAGCAGUAAUACCCAAAAGAAAAUGGGUAUGAAAUACACAGCUCUAAAAUGCGC